UCUCACCAUCUCUCUCACAAUAUAUGUAUAUAAUACACACACACACACACAGUUAAUUGGUUAUAUAUCAGCCGCAUCAUGUUUCAAUUGAUACCAGAUGGAUAAAGGGAUUGACGUGAGCCGAAUUGAAAACCCUAUAUCUCAAAUCGAAUAGGAGACGAGUUCGAGCUUUCAGUCAAUCCUAGCUCAAAUCGCAAUAAAUAUAGUGAAAGAUUCGAUUUUUUUUUUUGGUAUCAAUACAUGUACUUUGUUUCUCUGUAUUUAUAUUGGGGUUAGGAUUGGGCUUUCUGAUUUGUAAGGCUUCAUUUCUAUGAGGUCCUUUUUGGGUUAUAAUAAGCUCGAUACAGUUUCCAUUUUUAUUUUUCGAAAUUUGCUUGUAUUAUGUAACCUAGAAUGAUCUAGGGUUAGGGCUAGGGCUUUGAAUUGUUUAAAUUUUGAAUUAUUAUUGGUAUGUAUCUUUGGUGAUGGAGAUGGAGAGUUCACGUAGAUCAUUCGAUAGAUCUAGAGAACCGGGCCCCAAGAAACCCAGAUUGGCCGAAGAGGCCGAUCGCAAUUUGAAUGGCCGGCCUUUUGCGGCUGCUGGAACAAGUGGUUCAAUGUUGUCAAAAUUUCGGUCGAAUGAAAGAGAGAGAGAUUCAGAGAGUGGUGGUUCAGUACGUGGACCAUUUCAACAGCAACAACAGCAACAUCACGAGCUUGUUAGUCGGUACAAGACUGCGAUUGCGGAGCUGACAUUCAAUUCCAAACCCAUUAUUACUAACUUGACAAUAAUUGCCGGCGAGAACUUGCAUGCCGCGAAAGCGAUCACCUCAACUGUCUGCACGAAUAUCCUUGAGGUUCCCAGUGAACAAAAACUGCCAUCACUUUAUCUUUUAGACAGCAUUGUGAAGAAUAUUGGCAAGGACUACAUUAAAUACUUUGCUGCCAGGCUACCUGAGGUAUUCUGCAAGGCAUAUAGACAAGUUGACUCUUCAAUACAUUCCGGUAUGCGGCAUCUUUUUGGAACUUGGAAAGGUGUCUUCCCUCCUCAGUCACUUCAGAUGAUUGAGAAAGAACUUGGUUUUGUUACCGCUGCCAAUGGUUCGUCUUCAGGACCUACUGCUUCUAGAGCUGAUUCUCAGUCUCAGCGCCAACCACAUAGCAUUCAUGUAAAUCCCAAGUAUCUAGAGGCAAGGCGUCUUCAGCAGUCAAGCAGGGCAAAAACAGGAGCUGAUGGUAUUAUUGGGAGCAUGGUUGAUUCACCUGAGGAUGUAGAGAGGCUAGACAGAACCACCAGUAUGAGUUCAGGGAAGUCGUGGACGGAUCCUCCAGCUAAGAUGCGUAAUACUCAACUUCCUCAUAGAGAUGCCCUAAAUGAGCCUGUUCGGGAGAAAAAAAUUGGUGCAGCAGGUGGGGAUUAUGAAUAUGGUUCUGAUAUUCCCCGGCACUCAGGCUUGGGGAUUGGAAGAGCCAGUGAUAAGGUUGUGGAACAAGGAUUUGACAAGCCUUGGUACGGAGCUGGUGGCAAUAUUGCGGAUAAAAUAUCCAGCCAAAGGAAUGGUUUUGAUUAUGAACAUGGAUUUCCAGGUUACCCGGCCCCCAGAUCUGCAAAAUCUGAUGCAAAUAUAAAGCCAACACAGAGAAUUGCAAGUAGAAGCAGCAGUGUGAUGAACAGGAGCUGGAAGAACUCUGAGGAAGAGGAGUACAUGUGGGAUGAUAUAAACUCUAGAACGACAGAUCAUGGUGCUGCCAAUAGCUUGAGGAAAGAUCGUUGGACAUCUGAUGAUUCUGAAAGAUUGGACUUCGACAACCACCUCCUAGAACCACAAACCACAUAUGAUGUUGGAUCAAGGGUCAAUAGAGAAGCUUCAACUGAUUCGGAAUCCACAGAACAUAAAGAAGAAGCAACUUUUGGGCAUAGGAUCUCAUUUCCGUGGAUGCAGGACCCCCGCUUAGCAGAUGGGAUCGUCCAUUCUGGCUCUGGUAGAAUUAUUUCAGGUCAUUCAGAAGGCCACCCUACCUCUUUAAUUGGAUUGUCUACGAGUACAAGUUCUUCUCUGCCCAGAAUGUCACUCCAGUCACAAAUGGGGUCAUCUCAUACUGGAGCCUUAAGCUUUGGGUUUUCUACAAAACCAGUGUCUGGCUCCUCUGGAAUCAUUUCCCAACAACACUCUUUAGGAGCUGCUUCACCUUCUGGACAGUCAACCAUGCUCCAGCGUCCUCCCUCACCUUCUUUCUCUGAAUACAAUCCCCAGCAACUAUUGCACAAUUCAGCAGAGCAAGACCUUCCAAAACCCCCACGUCGGGCAGAUCCAAGAUUAUCUCAGUAUCCCCAAAAGUCAAACAUGGGACCUCAUAAUCAAUUGUCUCAGGAUUCAUUGCCAAUGCCUCCACAGAGCACUCAUCCGCGCAACUUGCUAAAAUUGCAGCCUCAAAGCUUACAUACAUCAUCUUCGUCGAUGACAUCUCUUCAAUCCAGACACAAUAUUCCCUUUUCACAGCCGCCAAAGCCAGAUAUGACACAGUUUGAACCUUCUGGUCUAACUCAGAAACCGCGACUGCAUCAGAUCCCAGUUCUUGGGAAACCCUCAACCACAGGGAGCUCUUUGUCAGACCACACAAAUUCUCUCGCUGCAGAAAUUCCAGGGCAGUCAAGCACAAGCAGUUUGUUGGCUGCUGUUAUGAAGAGUGGAAUACUCUCUAAUAUUGCUGUUACUAGCAGCCUACCUAAAUUGAGUUUUCAGGAGGAUGCUGGGGCAAUGUCUUCCAAGUCAGGUAUACAGCCUCCCCUACCAAGUGGCUCUCCGCCUACCCAAUUUACAUCCGCAGGGCCCAGGGCGGCAUCAGCAUCUCUAUUAAAUCCUGCUUCCCAUGAUAGCACUUCAGCUUCUUCAACUCUUACCCAGGAAAAGGUAGAACGGCCACCAUUGCCACGUGGUCCUCCACCUUCCUCUCUUACAAUUAGUGUAUCAGCACAAACUUCAAACACGGUGAAUACUGUCUCUAAUCCACUAUCAAGUCUUUUGAACUCAUUGGUUGCAAAGGGUUUGAUACAUGCGGAAAAGACAGAGUCACCUGCUUUUGUGCUAUCUGAGAUGCCUAACCGAUCUGAAAACCAGAUCCCAAGCAUUGCUACCAUUAGUUCGGAAGCAGUUUCUUCUGUUUUACCGCUUUCAUCUACCGAAGAUGAGCAUCUUUUCUCCGAACCUGCUGUAAAAAAUUCUGUUGCCUUACCUCAAUCCACUACAGCAGACAUAAUAAGCCUUAUUGGCUUUGAGUUUAAGCCAGAUGUAAUCCGGGAAUCACAUCCAUCUGUGAUCAGUGAACUGGUUGAUGACCUCCCACACCAAUGUGGCAUAUGUGGCCUUAGACUUAAACUUCAAGAGCGACUUGAUAGACACUUGGAGUGGCAUGCAUUGAGAAAUCCUGAAUCAAACAGUUUAUACAAGGCUUCAAGGAGAUGGUAUGCAAAUUCAGGUGAUUGGAUUGCUGGAAAGAUUGAACUUUCAUCUAGAUUUGAAUCCACUGGUCAUUUGAAAGAUCCUGACAACGAAAUGGAGAAGAGUGAGCGGAUGAUUCCUGCAGAUGAAAGCCAAUGCGUAUGUGCCUUGUGUGGUGAGCUUUUUGAAGAUUUUUACAGUCAAGAAAGGGAUGAAUGGAUGUUCAAAGGAGCUGUUUACCUGACUAUCCCAUCUGCGGAUGGUAAGACCGGAACUCAAAAAGAGGGUGCUGCUCAGGGUCCUAUAGUCCAUGCAAACUGUAUGUCAGAAAGUUCAUUUCAUGAUUUGGGUGUGGCCAACGGUGAUUGAGUGGAAUCUGAUGCGUAAUGAUUUGAGGUGAGGGAGAGACCAUCAUAAUUAUGGAGGAAAUGGUAGAGAAGCUGAUGGAGAAAAUUCAGGUUUACUAUUUAUAGCUUGCAUGUGCAAGUAGUCCUCCUAUGUCAAUUGACCUGUCUUAUAAAUGCUGCCAAAAUCUGCUUAUUUAUUUUUCAGUAUCCAUUGAUAGCAGCAAAACAAGAAAGCUCCGGCCAUUUCUGUUCACUUUUCAGCUUCAAAAUCAGUAGAAGGCAAGCAACUUAUUACUAUAGUAAAUGAGCUUCCAUUUUUUAUUUUUCCAUCUUGUUUAUCUGUUUCAUGUUGGUUGAUUGUCAUUUGAAUGUUUAUGUUUCUGGAAAAAUAUAUAUGUUAAAUUGUACUUCCCCUGCACAAGAGAGUGUUUAUUGGCUUUUGUUAGUGUCUGGUGGUUCUCUCUCUCUCAUGUUGGUCGUAGGCUUUUGUUGCUUACAUGACAAUCAGUGCAGAAGCAUCGGAUUUUCUGUGCCUGAGGUUCUGUUGAGUUCUUUGCAAGGCGCUGUUGUUUUAUCCGAAGUACUUGGUUCUGGGAAAUAUUUAAUGUUUCGGUUCUGUAGCAUAGGACUAAUAACUUAGGAGUUUUUGUAGUUGGGAGAUUUGAACGUUUUCUCGGUUUUAUCAUAUUCUCUUAUCAGCCACUA